UGUCUCUCAGGGUCACAUCUGGAGAAUUCCUAGUACUUUACCAGUCUUGGCUAUGGAAGGGAGAGUCAAGCAGGGGCAUACCCAUUCCAUUCCUAGCUUGGGCAGUGCCUAGCGAGCGGAAGACAUUCUGCUACAAGU